UGCUUCUAUAGCUUAUAAAAAGUGAAGAGCUUUUAACUCUUUGAAACAGAUUAUUUAUGUUGGAGGUAU
rnacentral:tRNA from 1 species